GGACUGUGUCGGGGACCACGGCGUGAAGCACCAUGGUAUGAACCCUGCACAUAGACUCUGCUCAAGGACCAUUGGCCAUCUUGCAUCAGUGUGGCAUUCGAGGAAUUUCUGGGGACGAAAAUUUCAGUUUCCGGGCUAUUUUAUGGGACCGCUGCCUGGUCUGUCUAGAAUUCCAGAACCUUUCCCUGGUUUCCAGCUGGACCUGCUAUGACCUUCUCCUGUGCCCUCUCCAAUUGGACGUCUGGCCUCGCGUAGUUCCUCGUAUUCUCCACCACCCCCAUCAAAGCCGGUGGCCCCCUCCGGGGCUCUGGGAGUCUCCUGUGGUCAGCACUUUGGCGCAAGGCCACGCGCCUUUCUGACUUUCCAGGGCCUCUGCUGCGGAACACCGGGUGGGCUGGCCCAGGGCAGGGUCGGUGCACCUUGUCUGGGAAGGCAAGGGUCCGGGAGGUGGGAGCACCCGCCACGUCUGUGGGGCCCGCGCGGGUGACUCCGGCACAUGGCUGGACCCUGCAGCCUCCUGCCACCAUCUGUCGUCAUCAGUCACCAACUUUGGUAAGAAGGGCUCGCUCAGGCUCUCGCGCCCUCCAACGGGCAGAAUUGGGAGUCUCAGCAGCUCCUGCCAGCCACCCCGGACCGAUGAGAGGGAGAGGCUUCGGGAUCCGGACAUGUCCUUUGAAAAGGAAGCUAGACUGCCCCCCGCGUCUGGAUUGUUCCCACCUACGGUUGACGACGAAUUAAAGUAUUAACAGCCAGAGCGGAAGCGGGGCUCAUGCGCGGGCUCGUGCGCGGCGGCAGGUGCGCGCCCAGCAGAUGCAGCACCCUCGCGAGUGAAAAGCUAGUAAACUCACGAGUGCAGAGCCACCGCCAGAGGGGGAUCGCCUCCGGGUAUGAACUUACGUCUCCAUUUACUGCAACUCCUCACCGGGUUCUAUUUGAUUUGGGGGCAAUGCGGCUUUCCCUUUCCUUCCUCAUCCAGAAACGUCUCCAAACCCUGUACUAAGACUUUUUGGAAUCUUCCUUCUUACGGGGGGACUUUUGGAAGGAUCCAUGAGUUUGGCGGGGGGGAAGGGCGGGUACUGCCGGCCCGCUGAAUGUUGAAGAGCCUUUCUCUACACCUGGAGCCUCGCAACAAAUCCUCCCAACUGGUCUUAGACUGGUGUUUCCUUUAUGAGUUGUGCGUGGCUUACGGUAGCGGGUCAACGCCAG